GAUGAACGCUGGCGGCGUGCCUAAUACAUGCAAGUCGAGCGAACGGACGAGAAGCUUGCUUCUCUGAUGUUAGCGGCGGACGGGUGAGUAAUACGUGGAUAACCUACCUAUAAGACUGGGAUAACUUCGGGAAACCGGAGCUAAUACCGGAUAAUAUUUUGAACCGCAUGGUUCAAAAGUGAAAGACGGUCUUGCUGUCACUUAUAGAUGGAUCCGCGCUGCAUUAGCUAGUUGGUAAGGUAACGGCUUACCAAGGCAACGAUGCAUAGCCGACCUGAGAGGGUGAUCGGCCACACUGGAACUGAGACACGGUCCAGACUCCUACGGGAGGCAGCAGUAGGGAAUCUUCCGCAAUGGGCGAAAGCCUGACGGAGCAACGCCGCGUGAGUGAAGAAGGUCUUCGGAUCGUAAAACUCUGUUAUUAGGGAAGAACAUAUGUGUAAGUAACUGUGCACAUCUUGACGGUACCUAAACAGAAAGCCACGGCUAACUACGUG
rnacentral:rRNA from 1 species